rnacentral:rRNA from 1 species
CCUACGGGUGGCAGCAGUGGGGAAUAUUGGACAAUGGGUGAAAGCCUGAUCCAGCCAUGCCGCGUGUGUGAAGAAGGCCUUCGGGUUGUAAAGCACUUUCAGUGGGGAAGAAAGCCUUGGGGCUAAUACCCUCGAGGAAGGACAUCACCCACAGAAGAAGCACCGGCUAACUCCGUGCCAGCAGCCGCGGUAAUACGGAGGGUGCGAGCGUUAAUCGGAAUUACUGGGCGUAAAGCGCGCGUAGGCGGUCUGAUAAGCCGGUUGUGAAAGCCCCGGGCUCAACCUGGGAACGGCAUCCGGAACUGUCAGGCUAGAGUGCAGGAGAGGAAGGUAGAAUUCCCGGUGUAGCGGUGAAAUGCGUAGAGAUCGGGAGGAAUACCAGUGGCGAAGGCGGUCUUCUGGACUGACACUGACGCUGAGGUGCGAAAGCGUGGGUAGCAAACAGGAUUAGAUACCCCGGUAGUC